AAGCGAAGCAGUGAUGUGAAGCAAAUCGCACCAAAGACCAGUCCCAGUUCGGNUAAGAGGCUGAAACUCGCCUCUUUGAAGUCGGAAUCGCUAGUAAUCGCAGAUCAGCAUGUUGCGGUGAAUACGUUCCCGGGUCUUGUACACACCGCCCGUCAAACCAUGAGAGUCACCAACACCCGAAGUCCGCCUUGGCGGCCUAAGGUGGGGGAGAUGAUUGGGGUUAAGUCGUAACAAGGUAGC
rnacentral:rRNA from 1 species